AAUGGGAUAGCUGGGUCAAAUGGUGGUUCCAUUCCAAGUUUUCUGAGGAAUCUCCAUACUGCUUUCCAUAGUGGUUGCACCAUUUUGCAGUUCCACCAGCAAU
rnacentral:pre_miRNA from 1 species